rnacentral:rRNA from 1 species
GAGUUUGAUCCUGGCUCAGGACGAACGCUGGCGGCGCGCCUAACACAUGCAAGUCGAACGGGACUAUUUUGGGAGAAGUUUUCGGAUGGAUCUCGGGAUAGUUUAGUGGCGGACGGGUGAGUAACACGUGAGCAACCUGCCUUCGAGAGGGGAAUAACGGCUGGAAACGGUCGCUAAUACCGCAUAACAUACUGGAGGGACAUCCCUUUGGUAUCAAAGAUUUUAUCGCUCGGAGAUGGGCUCGCGUCCGAUUAGGUAGUUGGUGAGGUAACGGCUCACCAAGCCGACGAUCGGUAGCCGGACUGAGAGGUCGAACGGCCACAUUGGGACUGAGACACGGCCCAGACUCCUACGGGAGGCAGCAGUGGGGGAUAUUGCACAAUGGGGGAAACCCUGAUGCAGCGACGCCGCGUGUGGGAAGACGGUCCUCUGGAUUGUAAACCACUGUCCCCAGGGACGAAGAUGACGGUACCUGGGGAGGAAGCUCCGGCUAACUACGUGCCAACAGCCGCGGUAAUACGUAGGGAGCGAGCGUUGUCCGGAAUUACUGGGUGUAAAGGGAGCGUAG